rnacentral:pre_miRNA from 1 species
ACAACAACAUUCGGACCGUCGGUCUACCGAGCAAUAUCACCCGCUCGGUGGAAGGUCUUCCCUCCGUCGUAAAGG